rnacentral:rRNA from 1 species
GAUGAACGCUGGCGGCGUGCCUAAUACAUGCCAGUCGAGCGAACGGACGAGAAGCUUGCUUCUCUGCUGUUAGCGGCGGACGGGUGAGUAACACGUGGAUCACCUACCUAUAUGACUGGGAUAACUUCGGGAAACCGGAGCUAAUACCGGAUCAUAUUUUGAACCGCAUGGUUCAAAAGUGAAUGACGGUCUUGCUGUCACUAUUAGAUGAUCCGGGCUGCAUUAGCUAGUUGGUAAGGUAACGGCCUACCAAGGCAACGAUGCAUAGCCGAACUGAGAGGGUGAUCGGCCACACUGGAACUGAGACACGGUCCAGACUCCUACGGGAGGCAGCAGUAGGGAAUCUUCCGCAAUGGGCGAAAGCCUGACGGAGCAACGCCGCGUGAGUGAUGAAGGUCUUCGGAUCGUAAAACUCUGUUAUUAGGGAAGAACAUAUGUGUAAGUAACUGUGCACAUCUUGACGGUACCUAAUCAGAAAGCCACGGCUAACUACGUG